rnacentral:pre_miRNA from 1 species
UUAACUAAAAUUUGUAUUGAGUUGAUCGUUUGCCUACGUUUGCCGCUAGAGGCGCUGUUCUAACUGCAUACAAAUUUCAGUUA